AAAAAGUUUUAUUUUAGCUUUAAAUUUUAAUUUAUAGUGAUUUUACAUGUAAAUUUUUUGUUCUUAAGGAGAUAUAGUGCAGUAAUUAAAUUUAUUUAUUAAGUUUUCUUAGAAUUAGGUAUUUUUAAUAGUACUAACAAAUCUUGUGCCAGCAGUUGCGGUUAUACAAGAAGUACAAUUAAAUUGGUGUCAGGAAGUAAUAAUUUUUAUAUAAUAUUUAAGUAGAAAUUUUUAAGGUGAAAUUUGAAAUUUUUGUCAGUAAGUGUUUAAAAAGAUUUUAUUAAAUUUUUUUUUAGACUAGGAUUAGAUACCCUAUUAUUUUAAAUGUAAAAAAAGAUUCUUGAGUAGUAUUAGGGUGCUUGAAAUUUAAAUUAUUUGGCGGUGUCCUAGUCUAUUUAGAGGAACCUGUCCUAUAAUUGAUGUUCCACAAUUUAUUUUACUUGGUUUUUAAGCUUGUAUAUCGUCGUUAUUUGAAUAUUUUGUAAGGAGGUAAUAUUCAUAAUUUAUAAAUAUAGUUUAAAUCAGAUCAAGAUGCAGUUUAUAAUUAAGGAGAGAUGGGUUACAUUAAAUUUAUUUUUGGAUUGUUUUAUGAAAGGAAAAUAUAAAAUUGGAUUUAAUAGUAUAUAUAAUAAAAUUAUUAUGUAGAUUCGAGCUCUAGGAUAUGCACAUAUCGCCCGUCGCUCCAAUUAUAAAAUUGGAUAAGUCGUAACAAAGUAGGUGUAUCGGAAGAUGUACCUAGAUUUACA
rnacentral:ncRNA from 1 species